CUUUGUACUCGAUGUUACUAGUAUACAUGAAACAUGAUAAUGUUUCAUGUAUACUAGUAACAUCGAGUACAAAG